rnacentral:lncRNA from 1 species
GAAAGACGCAAUUAUGAACCAAGAAAAACUCGCCAAACUGCAGGCAUAAGUGCGUAUUGGUGGGAAAGGAACUGCUCGCAGAAAGAAGAAGGUUCAUAGAACAGCCACAACAGAUGACAAGAAAAAACUUUAGUUCUCCUUAAAGAAGUUAGGGAUAAACAAUAUCUCUGGUAUUGAAGAGGUGAAUAUGUUUACAAACCAAGGAACAGUGAUCCACUUUAACAGCCCUAAAGUU